rnacentral:sRNA from 12 species
GUGGUGCGCGGAGAGGGUAACCACCGGCGCGCGUCACUGAUAUAUCCACCGGGGGGUAAGGGGAGAAAAGGAUACAGCGCGACGAAGUUAGCACGCUGCCCCGUAAGGCUGACGUAA